GCUCACCUCGCUGGGCGCUGAUAAAAUGCCUGGGCCGGGUGAUCUGCUGAGCAGCCCUGCAGAAAAACCUGCAGAGCUUGGGAGCCUGAUCUGCCAGCGACCAGCCCGGGGCUCCAGAGCACAGCAAGGUGAGCAACUUGCAGUGAUACACUUGGGAGAGUCCUCUUGAUGGAUUUGAACUGAAUAUAAAACCCUGGACAUCUUCUGAGCAGUUCCUUUGAAAUCCAGUGCGAAAAACAUCAUCUCUGCCUCCAGUUGUGCUAUGGACCUUGGGGCUCUGCAAAUCAGAUUAAAAGCUGUUUGGGAAGACAAGUCCUGAGAUGAAGCUCUGAGCUCAUAUGGACACAAAUUCCCAGAAACACAGAAGAGUGGCCUGAAACCAUUGGUUUGAAGGUACAAAAUUUUGU
rnacentral:lncRNA from 1 species